rnacentral:rRNA from 1 species
UACGUAGGGUGCAAGCGUUGUCCGGAAUUAUUGGGCGUAAAGAGCUCGUAGGCGGUUUGUCGCGUCUGCUGUGAAAACUCGGGGCUUAACCCCGGGCCUGCAGUGGGUACGGGCAGACUAGAGUCCGGUAGGGGACCACGGAAUUCCUGGUGUAGCGGUGAAAUGCGCAGAUAUCAGGAGGAACACCGGUGGCGAAGGCGGUGGUCUGGGCCGGAACUGACGCUGAGGAGCGAAAGCGUGGGGAGCGAACAGG